GUGGAUUUGUAAAGUGGUAGAAGCACAGCCGGGCUGUGUGUUGGGGGGGCGGCGGGGGGUCGUAAUGACUUCCAGCUGCCUGAGGCUGAGCAGAGGAGGUUCUUUGAUUUCUACACAGAAACAGAAACUCUGACCUCUGUUGAACAUUUUAACUCUUCAUCGAACUCAACAAACGGACGUUUCGUGUGUUGAGGUUCGGUUUCUUUGCUUGAAGUGAAGCCGGUCGUGUCGUGGUCAGCUCGCUUUGUGAAGAUGCUCUCGGAUUCGGUCGGUCAGGAUCUUCCUCCACCUGAACUUCUCGCAGCGUGGAAAGAAAAGAAAAGAUCCUGGAGGAAGUAAAAUAAACAAAAGGGGGAGCGGAGGGAGAGUUGGGGGGAGGAUUCAGAGCCCAGCGGAAAGAAAGCAGAGCAGGGGUUAACCCGGCCCCCAGGUAUGCCCCCCCCCCCCAGCCAGCUGAGUUUAGAUGAACCCUUCUGCUGCCGACUAAAUAACAACUAACCCCGUCCAUCAGAAACCCUCCAUGCAUUAUUUGACUUACUACAACAACAAUAUGCAGCGACUCUUAAGACAAAUAGAAC
ensembl:lncRNA